CUAGCUGUUCCUCUAAGAAAGGAAGACUUUGUAAAUUGCGUGAGAGGCAGAAAAGAAUAAAAGCUAAAAGACAGGUUAACACAUUCAAGGACAGGACAGAAGGGGAACCAAACCCAACACUAUGCUUCAGAAUUACAGGUGGAGACUAUCUGGGGAACAGGAAAUUCUACAAAGAGACAACAGACAAGCAAGUUGGCAAGGAAUAUUUUCUGCUUGUUGCUACUUACAGAAAAAGGCUCUUCGGUCCUGGAGAGUUGAUAAGUCUGUUUUUCCAGUUGAAGAUCAGCGUGUGUGAACCUUCUUCCAAAGCAGGAAACUUUAAAUGGACUUCCAGCAAGUGCUGAGCUGCAGGGCUUUACAUAUCAGCAGUGCCACUGAAAUCAGCAGAAAAUUUGUGGAACAAGACGUUGAAGAUCUUUCCCUAAUCAGAGAAGGUAACAGAACUAGUCUUAGUGAAGAAAGCUGUGACAGAGCAGGAAAACCCAUCUGACUGUGUGCUUUUCAAUCUCUUUAUUCUUUCCUAAUAUGUUUUUCUUUAUCAUCAUCCACUUAACCUCCAGAGUGUUGUCUUCUAAUUCUGCUGUCACUUUUGACCUCAUUUUAC
rnacentral:lncRNA from 1 species